AUUGGUUGAAAAUCACCUCUGACUUUGCCUGUAGCCAUGGAUGAGAUUCAGAACCCAGAGCCAGUGGGGCCUCCCCUUACAGUCUACUCUCCAGUGUGAGGUGAAACACAGGUCCUGACAAGC